GCCUGCAGUUAUACUGCUCUGCAAGUGCCUGACUGCAGAAGCUAAGCAUGGUCAGGCCUGGUUAGUACUUGGGGUGGGAGACUGCUCAGGAAGAUCCAUUGUUUUAUGCU
ensembl:rRNA 5S_rRNA 5S ribosomal RNA